rnacentral:rRNA from 1 species
AGAGUUUGAUCAUGGCUCAGAUUGAACGCUGGCGGCAGGCCUAACACAUGCAAGUCGAACGGUAACAGAAAGCAGCUUGCUGCCUUGCUGACGAGUGGCGGACGGGUGAGUAAUGUCUGGGAAACUGCCUGAUGGAGGGGGAUAACUACUGGAAACGGUAGCUAAUACCGCAUAACGUCGCAAGACCAAAGAGGGGGACCUUCGGGCCUCUUGCCAUCGGAUGUGCCCAGAUGGGAUUAGCUAGUAGGUGGGGUAAAGGCUCACCUAGGCGACGAUCCCUAGCUGGUCUGAGAGGAUGACCAGCCACACUGGAACUGAGACACGGUCCAGACUCCUACGGGAGGCAGCAGUGGGGAAUAUUGCACAAUGGGCGCAAGCCUGAUGCAGCCAUGCCGCGUGUAUGAAGAAGGCCUUCGGGUUGUAAAGUACUUUCAGCGGGGAGGAAGGGAGUAAAGUUAAUACCUUUGCUCAUUGACGUUACCCGCAGAAGAAGCACCGGCUAACUCCGUGCCAGCAGCCGCGGUAAUACGGAGGGUGCAAGCGUUAAUCGGAAUUACUGGGCGUAAAGCGCACGCAGGCGGUUUGUUAAGUCAGAUGUGAAAUCCCCGGGCUCAACCUGGGAACUGCAUCUGAUACUGGCAAGCUUGAGUCUCGUAGAGGGGGGUAGAAUUCCAGGUGUAGCGGUGAAAUGCGUAGAGAUCUGGAGGAAUACCGGUGGCGAAGGCGGCCCCCUGGACGAAGACUGACGCUCAUGUGCGAAAGCGUGGGGAGCAAACUGGAUUAGAUACCCUGGUAGUCCA